UUGAACUGAAGAGUUUGAUCAUGGCUCAGAUUGAACGCUGGCGGCAGGCCUAACACAUGCAAGUCGAGCGGAUGAGAGGAGCUUGCUCCUUGAUUUAGCGGCGGACGGGUGAGUAAUGCCUAGGAAUCU
rnacentral:rRNA from 1 species